UAAUGUAAAAUUGAAGAGGGGUAGAAAACACCUGCCUCACUUUGACGAAAUUUUCAGAUAAGAUUUCAAAGUAAUUCACACAUCACAGUUACACUCUUCUCUAUACCUCUAACCCAUCUCUCUCGAUCGAUCAGGUAAAGUUAGUACUCUCUCUCUUAAUAUCUCAAUCGAUUGAACGAAUUGAUUUGGGUAAUUGAUUCCAGCUUCUUGAUUCGAUUGUGGCCUCUUCGUUUAAUUCAGUAUCUCAGUUAAUUUCAAGGCUUCAAUCCUAUUAGCUAUAAUCAAAUAAGGGGUUUUAAUCAAAUUACGGCUUCGAUUUUGGUUUAAGGUUUGAAGGGCCUCUGCCUCACUCUCUCGCAGCUUCGUCUCUUUCCAAACUCUCUCCCAUAUAUUGCUGGUCUCUCUUGCAAGCCAACAACACGGAGCUGAUGACCAAGAAAAAAGUUCGUGAUAAGGUGACAAAUGUAAUUUGCAAAUUAGGAGAGGUAAAACCUUAUUUCAAUGACAUUGCUAUUGAAGAAGUGUUGCGUGCAACUGAGAUGAACUUGACAAAGAGGAGGAUGGGAAUGUAGCUGCUGAAUAUAGUGAUGAAUGAAGAUAUUUAGUCACUUUUUAUGUUUACAUCUUCAUCUCUAUGCUUGCUUUUAGAUUGACUUUUGUAAGGAUGGUUUAUAAGUUGGUACUUUAGUCUGGUUUCUAUGUAUCUUUCAACUUGAUGACUCGGUUUAUACUUUGAAUUCUAUUUUGACCAUUUUUCAAGUUAUGAAAAUUUCUGAGUAUUGCAUUUA